rnacentral:misc_RNA from 1 species
UGAAAGGAAGCGCGAAUAGAUGCCGUGUUAUUAAGGUUAAUACUUUGACAACAUGGCAGGUUGGGCUGGUUUCACUGAAGAAGAUCUUCGGAUACUAAAGGUUUCUGUCAAAGACAGUCAUGGCGUCGCCAAAAAACCAGCCCAACUUAAGCGUCCAAGAACAGCAAGAAGCCAGUUUGUCAGUCAGUUUGGAGAGUCGCCAGAACCAGUCCUUCAUCCAUCACAGCGGCUGAGUCAACCACAAACUACAGACAAGCUAGCCACCAAUAAAACAGACAAGGCAGCGGCUAGUAGUCACCAUGGUAACACGACAACUACAGAUGUUGCAGCUAAGAUCCAGAACAAAGAUGGACAGCAUCCAGUAUCAACAGAUUCGUCCGUUGCCAGUGACAACGUGAAAGUGGUUCGGGAACUGGAUGAAGUUGAAGCUAUCAGUGUGGAUAUAAACAAAAUGGAAACCUUUCAGAAACAGCAAAAGAUGAUCCAAGAAGCAAACAAACAAAAACGAGAAUAUUUGACAAAAACCAUCAGUGAACGACAGAAGAAGGCGAAGGCGGAAAAUGCGAAGUUGACGAAGAUUCAGAGAGAACUGAGUCACCUUGACGACUUACUGUCAACAGAUGUGGGAAUAAUCCGAGACAAGAUCGAAGAGGCCAGUCUGCAGUACCAGGAGGCUCAGAGGAAAUAUGAAAAAGCAGAGCAAGACUUCAUCAAAGCGAAAAUGAAUCUGUUUGAAAAGGGAGAGACGAAGGAACAACUGACGGAGCAUCUCUAUACAAUUAUAAACCAGAACGAGGUACGCAAAGCCAAGAAGCUGGCCGAGCUCAUGAAACAGCUGGAGAUGGAGAUCUCAUUGGAGGAGAUGGAGAUACAGAUUCCAGCCAUUCCUCCACUGAUGAACUUCAACUCGGUUCACACGAUCAACAGUCCAUUACGCAAGAUGUCAGACGUCCCUUCUCACCAGAACCACGGCAGUGGAGGAUCACUGUCAGGUGGGACCAGUGAAAAACAAGGUAACAUUCAACAAGUGACCAAUGAGAAACAGGUUAACAUUCAACAAUCAACCAAUGAAAAAGCAGGUAACAUUCAACAUUCAACCAAUGAGCAUGCAGCUAAGACUUCAAAUGUGACCAGUGAAAAUGGAGUUAACAUGAAUGCGGCUCCAACUAGUUCAGAUGUUUCCGAUAAAACAACACUUUUACAGAUGUGUACACUGCCAGGAUCACAGUCAGAAUCCUGUGGUAAAGACCAGAUAGAAGGAAGUCAAAGAACAGAAGAAGUUACAGAUAAAACAUCUGGUCUGACCGAUCCAUCAACACCUGCCGUGAAAGAUCAGCAUGCUGAAAACAAAACUGUUGAAAGUAAUAGUGCAAUAUUGUCAGGAGCAGAUAACACUGGCACCAGCUCAAGUAAAAACGGUAUCAUUCACGAUACUAACCAAAACUGUUUAAGUGUUAACACAGCGGAACGUGCUGUGCCGUCCUCUUACACUACUGCAGAGUUGAACAAUAAUGGAAGUACUUAAGACUGAGAGUGCUUAAGUAUUUAAUGUUUAAUUAGUAUUCUGAAGGAAAGAAAUAAGGGAUCAUACGAUCACCACCUCCAGCAGGAAAGGGUGAUUGCAACCAAAACCAUCAUCCAUUGUGUCAGGAAGGUAACCGUGUUACUGGCAUUCAAUACCACAUUACUGACACCAGCCCAACAUUACAAGUUUGUACAGACAUCAGGAUGAUAAUAGGGACUGAAAUUUGGUUGACAAUAUCAAGUGUUCCCUUAUUUCUUUCUCAGAGUAUAUUGGAGAUAAUGAUCUAUUUUUGAUGGUGAUGUUUCAUUCUCUUUUGCAGUGACAUACCUCUAUCUACAUUUAAAUAUUUUGUACAAAAUUAUUCUCCCAUAUUGGAUUCAGUAAUACUGCUACACAUAGUUUACCAAGAGUAGAUAACUCUUACAGGAGUGGUAAAGAAAAGGUGGCUGUAUGUGAUAACAACGAAAGGUUUUAAGUGGUGUUCCAGAAUUGAUCACAUCUACAUGAAUGUGAGGGCAGCAGUUGUGUCAUAUCUAUGACUAUAAAACAAUAACAUUUUGUUUAACCCAACUAUGCAAAGAAAACAAAAUUGACCCAUGUGCUGUUCAAUUAAAAUGAUAUUAUUGCCUUCACCUCUGACCCCUUGUGAUAUUAUGGAACAGCUCUAAAUGUUGACUAAAGAUGCCUCUCUCUGUGUCUCUCUCUCUCUCUCUCUCUCUCUCUCUCUCUCUCUUCUCUCUCUCUCUCUCUGUCUCUCUGGCAGAGUUGAACAGUAAUGGAAAUAUUUCAUAUUUCUCUCUUUUAGACAAUCUAUUUUUGAUGUUCAUGUAUCAUUCUUUUUCACUUCAACAGAAUUGUGCUGUACAUGUACAAUCAUGGAAUUCCUUACUGUUUCGUUAUUUAAGAUAAUAAUAUAUUUUUGAUGCUGUUAUAUUCCCUGAAGCAGUCACAUAGCUUUCUUCACAAGAGAUACAUUAAAUAUAGACACUCAUAUUCUAAACAAUAAGCCAUAUUUAACAUAUUAAUUUUUAUUUGUUAAAAGUUUGUAUUAUAUUUAACAUGUUAUUUUUAUUUGUUGAAAAUCUGUAUUAUAUUUAAUAUGUAAUUUAGAUUUGUUAAAAAUCUCUGUUUGUUGGAAACGUGUUACCAUGGCAGCAAACCCAGGACUGUCUGAUGAAAACCACUGGGUGUGGUUAACCGUCCUGUUUCUCUCUCAUAGAGUUGAACAAUAUCCAGGUCCUGUUUCUCUCUCAUAGAGUUGAACAAUAUCCAGGUCCUGUUUCUCUCUCACAGAGUUGAACAAUAUCCAGGUCCUGUUUCUCUCUCUCACAGAGUUGAACAAUAUCCAGAACCUGUUUCUGUCUCACAGAGUUGAACAAUAUCCAGGUCCUGUUUCUCUCUCACAGAGUUGAACAAUAUCCAGGUCCUGUUUCUCUCUCACAGAGUUGAACAAUAUCCAGGUCCUUUUUCUCUCUCACAGAGUUGAACAAUAUCCAGGUCCUGUUUCUCUCUCACAGAGUUGAACAAUAUCCAGGUCCUGUUUCUCUCUCUCACAGAGUUGAACAAUAUCCAGAACCUGUUUCUCUCUCACAGAGUUGAACAAUAUCCAGGUCCUGUUUCUCUCUCACAGAGUUGAACAAUAUCCAGAUUCCCAUGUUCAUACAUGUUAUUGUAGAUACGUCAACAAAUAGUACCUUACCUUGUUCAUUGUCAUUUAUUCUUAAAGGCAUACUGUCACGGAUUUAAUGACCUUAUUUCUCUAAAAAUGGAUAAUAACUAAAAAUUACAUUAAUUGUUGAAAACCAAAUCUAGCUAUUGCAUCACCUUA